rnacentral:ncRNA from 2 species
GAACGCCGUAUGCGAGGAAACUCGCACGUACGGUGUGAGGUGGGGGAAAAAUGUUACUGACCGUUAAGACGAAGAUAACAUUUACCUAUCACUAU